rnacentral:rRNA from 1 species
UACGGAGGGUGCAAGCGUUGUUCGGAUUCAUUGGGCGUAAAGCGCACGUAGGCGGCUUGGUAUGUCGGGUGUGAAAUCCCCGGGCUCAACCUGGGAACUGCAUCCGAAACUGCCUUGCUAGAGUAUGGGAGAGGGAAGUGGAAUUUCCGGUGUAGCGGUGAAAUGCGUAGAUAUCGGAAGGAACAUCAGUGGCGAAGGCGACUUCCUGGACCAAUACUGACGCUCAGGUGCGAAAGCGUGGGGAGCAAACAGG